UACGUAGGGGGCAAGCGUUGUCCGGAAUCAUUGGGCGUAAAGCGCGCGUAGGCGGCCCGGUAAGUCCGCUGUAAAAGUCCAGGGCUCAACCCUGGAAAGCCGGUGGAUACUGUCGGGCUAGAGUCCGGAAGAGGCGAGUGGAAUUCCUGGUGUAGCGGUGAAAUGCGUAGAUAUCUGGAGGAACACCGGUGGCGAAGGCGGCAUCCUGGACCGGUAUUGACGCUGAGGCGCGAAAGCCAGGGGAGCAAACGGG
rnacentral:rRNA from 1 species